rnacentral:rRNA from 1 species
AGGAUUCCCUCAGUAACGGCGAGUGAACAGGGAAGAGCCCAGCGCCGAAUCCCCGCCGCGCGUCGCGGCGUGGGAAAUGUGGCGUACGGAAGACCCACUCCCCGGCGCCGCUCGUGGGGGGCCCAAGUCCUUCUGAUCGAGGCCCAGCCCGUGGACGGUGUGAGGCCGGUAGCGGCCCCCGGCGCGCCGGGCUCGGGUCUUCCCGGAGUCGGGUUGCUUGGGAAUGCAGCCCAAAGCGGGUGGUAAACUCCAUCUAAGGCUAAAUACCGGCACGAGACCGAUAGUCAACAAGUACCGUAAGGGAAAGUUGAAAAGAACUUUGAAGAGAGAGUUCAA